UGCCGAUGGAUUAGCGAACUAUG
rnacentral:siRNA from 1 species